rnacentral:rRNA from 1 species
UUGAACGCUGGCGGCAGGCUUAACACAUGCAAGUCGAGCGGGGAAAUGUAGCUUGCUACAUUACCUAGCGGCGGACGGGUGAGUAAUGCUUAGGAAUCUGCCUAUUAGUGGGGGACAACAUUUCGAAAGGAAUGCUAAUACCGCAUACGCCUACGGGGGAAAGCAGGGGAUCUUCGGACCUUGCGCUAAUAGAUGAGCCUAAGUCGGAUUAGCUAGUUGGUGGGGUAAAAGGCCUACCAAGGCGACGAUCUGUAGCGGGUCUGAGAGGAUGAUCCGCCACACUGGGACUGAGACACGGCCCAGACUCCUACGGGAGGCAGCAGUGGGGAAUAUUGGACAAUGGGGGGAACCCUGAUCCAGCCAUGCCGCGUGUGUGAAGAAGGGCCCUUUUGGUUGUAAAGCACUUUAAGCGAGGAGGAGGCUACCUAGAUUAAUACUCUAGGAUAGUGGACGUUACUCGCAGAAUAAGCACCGGCUAACUCUGUGCCAGCAGCAGC